rnacentral:tRNA from 1 species
GCAUUGGUGGGUGAGUGGUAGCUUUCCCACCUCCUGUGCGGGAGACCUGGGUUCCAUUCCCGGCCAAUGUA